UACGUAGGGUGCGAGCGUUGUCCGGAAUUACUGGGCGUAAAGAGCUCGUAGGUGGUUUGUCGCGUUGUCCGUGAAAACUCACAACUCAAUUGUGGGCGUGCGGGCGAUACGGGCAGACUGGAGUACUGCAGGGGAGACUGGAAUUCCUGGUGUAGCGGUGGAAUGCGCAGAUAUCAGGAGGAACACCAGUUGCGAAGGCGG
rnacentral:rRNA from 1 species